UUCGCAGGACAAAGCGAUGGUUCGGCAGGAAUCCGGUGCAAUUCCGGAGCGGUCGCGCCACUGUGAAUCGAAGUAGUUCCUCAGCGGGGCUUUUCGACAGCCAGAUAUUGCAGCCAUCGCAUGGACCGAGGG
rnacentral:ncRNA from 2 species